AUGUGGGAUGCGGACACCGAUGCCUUUGUGAAUACAUUUGCUGGCCACAGUAACACAGUGACAUGUGGUGAUUUUACACCUGAUGGUGAGCUUAUUUGUAGCGGAUCAGAUGAUGCAACACUAAGGAUAUGGGACCGUGAAAGUGCACACUGCAGCCAUGUUGUUGGAGGUCAUGGUUUUCAUACUCAAGGACUGACAUGUUUAGCUAUUACAUGGGACUCCCAAUCAAUUGUUACUGGCUCUCAGGAUAGUUCUGUGCACAUCGUGAGCAUAAAAUCAGGCCAGGUUGUCGGUGCAUUAGUUGGCCACACUAACUCCGUCGAGUGCAUUGGCAUCUCACCGAGGUACAACUGGGUGGCUACAGGGAGCAUUGAUCAGACUCUCAUCAUCUGGGACCUCACUCACCAAGCAAUUCGAUCCGUUUGCGAGCAUGAUGACGGUGUGACUUGCCUGGCGUGGAUAGGUUCGUCGAGGUAUGUAGCGUCAGGAUGCAUCGACGGCACGGUGCGCGUCUGGGACAGCCUCUCUGGGGAGCUGGCUCGCAUACUGAGCGGGCACCGUGAUGUCGUGCAGUCGCUGGCCGUCUCCGCCGAUUGCAACUCCAUUGUCUCGGUCUCCUCGGAUAAGUCUGCCCGCGUCUUUGACAUAUCCAUGUUCAAGUAA
rnacentral:rRNA from 1 species